rnacentral:rRNA from 2 species
CAAAAACAUGUCCUUUUGAUUAAAAUUUAAGGUCUUGCCUGCCCAAUGAUUAUUUUAAUGGCCGCAGUAUUUUGACUGUGCAAAGGUAGCAUAAUCAUUAGUUUCUUAAUUAGAAGCUGGAAUGAAUGGUUUGAUGAAAAAUUUUCUGUCUCAAUAAUAUUUUUUUAAAAUUUAAAUUUUAAGUUAAAAUGCUUAAAUGAAUUAAAAAGACGAGAAGACCCUAUAGAGUUUAAUACUUUAUUUUUAAUAUAUUAAUUAGAUUAGAUUAGUAGUUUUAAAUAAAUUAUUUUGUUGGGGUGAUAUAAAAAUUUAACUAACUUUUUAAUUAUUUAAACAUUAAUUUAUGAAUAUUUGAUCUUUUUUUAAGGAUUAUAAGAAUAAAUUACCUUAGGGAUAACAGCGUAAUUUUUUUGGAAAGUUCUUAUUGAUAAAAAAGUUUGCGACCUCGAUGUUGGAUUAAAAUUAAAUUUUGGUGUAGAAGCUAAAUAUUUAGGUCUGUUCGACCUUUAAAAUUUUACAUGAUCU